CACGUAGGGCGCAAGCGUUGUCCGGAAUUAUUGGGCGUAAAGAGCUCGUAGGCGGUCCGUCACGUCCGCUGUGAAAACCCAGGGCUCAACCCUGGGCUUGCAGUGGAUACGGGCAGACUAGAGGUAGGUAGGGGAGAAUGGAAUUCCCGGUGUAGCGGUGAAAUGCGCAGAUAUCGGGAGGAACACCGGUGGCGAAGGCGGCUACCUGGACAGAAACUGACGCUGAGGCACGAAAGCUAGGGGAGCAAACAGG
rnacentral:rRNA from 1 species